GGCGACAUAGCCAAGCGGUAAGGCACGAGGCCGGCAAAGCCUCGAACCCUGGUUCGAAUCCAGGUGUCGCCU
rnacentral:tRNA from 1 species